AUACUAUGGACUUGGUCUUGAGAAUGGACCUUACAACGUGAGCUUGUCCUUUGCUGAGACAGUUUUUGGUGAUCAAGGCUCACUAACAUGGAAGAGUCGUGGAAGGCGUGUUUUUGAUAUCUAUAUUCAGGGAACCCUCCGGUCAAAGGAUUUUGACAUAUCAAAGAAGACAGGUGGGGAUAGAAGAGCAACUACAGAGAAAUUUAAUCUAUGGUAACUGAGAACUAUCUUGAAAUUCACCUAUUUUGGGCUGGUAAAGGGACCUGCUGCAUCCCUACUGGAGGUAGCUAUGGGCCAUUAAUUUCAGCUCUUAGUGUCAUUCCAGAUUUCAACCAACUGUUGGUAUUGCACGAAAGAAGAACCGGACUUGGCUGAUUGUUG